CGGGACGGGUGAGUAAUGUCUGGGAAACUGCCUGAUGGAGGGGGAUAACUACUGGGAACGGUAGCUAAUACCGCAUAACGUCGCAAGACCAAAGAGGGGGACCUUAGGGCCUCUUGCCAUCGGAUGUGCCCAGAUGGGAUUAGCUAGUAGGUGGGGUAACGGCUCACCUAGGCGACGAUCCCUAGCUGGUCUGAGAGGAUGACCAGCCACACUGGAACUGAGACACGGUCCAG
rnacentral:rRNA from 1 species